AUUGAACGCUGGCGGUAUGCUUAACACAUGCAAGUCGAACGAUGAGAAAGAGCUUGCUCUUUCGAUUAGUGGCGGACGGGUGCGUAACGCGUAGGAAUCUACCUAUUAGUGGGGGACAACUUAGGGAAACUUAAGCUAAUACCGCAUACGCCCUACGGGGGAAAGAAGGGGAUCGCAAGACCUUUUGCUAAUAGAUGAGCCUGCGUAGGAUUAGCUAGUUGGUGGGGUAAAAGCUCACCAAGGCGACGAUCCUUAACUGGUUUGAGAGAAUGAUCAGUCACACGGGAACUGGGAGACGGUCCAGACACCUAGGGAAGGCGGCAGUGGGGAAUAUUGGACAAUGGGCGAAAGCCUGAUCCAGCAAUACCGCGUGUGUGAAGAAGGCCUUAGGGUUGUAAAGCACUUUCAAUUGGAAGGAAAACCUCGAAGCUAAUACCUUCGAGUUUGACAUUACCUUUAGAAGAAGCACCGGCUAACUCCGUGCCAGCAGCCGCAGUAACAC
rnacentral:rRNA from 1 species